GGCACCGUGGCUUAGUAGGUUAAAGUCCCUGUCUCAUAAACAUUGGAUCCUGGCUUCAGAUCCCAGCAGUGCCU
rnacentral:tRNA from 1 species